rnacentral:sRNA from 1 species
UUUUCGCCUGAAUAAAAGAGGAUGAGAAUCUCCGAAGGAGGGUUGCGCCGAGCGCAGCGAGACAACGUUGCGAAUGCAACGGCCCGAAGGGGGCUUACGCAGUAAGCCUAAUCCUCUCUCGCCGACCA